rnacentral:rRNA from 1 species
ACGGGAGGCAGCAGUGGGGGAUAUUGCACAAUGGGGGAAACCCUGAUGCAGCGACGCCGCGUGGAGGAAGAAGGUUUUCGGAUUGUAAACUCCUGUCGUUAGGGACGAUAAUGACGGUACCUAACAAGAAAGCACCGGCUAACUACGUGCCAGCAGCCGCGGUAAAACGUAGGGUGCAAGCGUUGUCCGGAAUUACUGGGUGUAAAGGGAGCGCAGGCGGACCGGCAAGUUGGAAGUGAAAACUAUGGGCUUAACCCAUAAAUUGCUUUCAAAACUGCUGGCCUUGAGUAGUGCAGAGGUAGGUGGAAUUCCCGGUGUAGCGGUGGAAUGCGUAGAUAUCGGGAGGAACACCAGUGGCGAAGGCGACCUACUGGGCACCAACUGACGCUGAGGCUCGAAAGCAUGGGUAGCAAACAGGAUUAGAUACCCUGGUAGUCCAUGCCGUAAACGAUGAUUACUAGGUGUUGGAGGAUUGCACCCCUUCAGUGCC